CAGCCGCCGCGGGAAAACGAAGGGUGCAAGCGUUACUCGGAAUUACUGGGCGUAAAGCGUGCGUAGGUGGUGGUUUAAGUCCGUUGUGAAAGCCCUGGGCUCAACCUGGGAAUUGCAGUGGAUACUGGGUCACUAGAGUGUGGUAGAGGAUAGUGGAAUUUCCGGUGUAGCAGUGAAAUGCGUAGAGAUCGGAAGGAACAUCUGUGGCGAAGGCGACUAUCUGGGCCAACACUGACACUGAGGCACGAAAGCGUGGGGAGCAAACAGGAUUAGAGACCCCCGUAGUCCCUGUCUCUUAUAC
rnacentral:rRNA from 1 species